AUUGAACGCUGGCGGCAGGCUUAACACAUGCAAGUCGAGCGAGCGGCGGACGGGUGAGUAACGUCUGGGAACCUGCCCGAUGGAGGGGGAUAACUACUGGAAACGGUAGCCAAUACCGCAUACCAUUAGAUGCGCCCAGAGGGGAUUAGCUAGUAGGUGGGGUAAUGGCUCACCUAGGCAACGAGCCCUAGCUGGUCUGAGAGGUUGACCCGCCAAACUGGAACUGAGACACGGUCCAGACGCCUACGGAAGGCAGCAGUAGGGAAUAUUGCACAAUGGGCGCAAGCCUGAUGUGGGAAUGCCGCGUGUGUGAAGAAGGCCUUCGGGUUGUAAAGCACUUUCAGCGAGGAAGCGUUACUCUCAGAAAAAGCACCGGCUAACUCCGUGCCAGCAGCCGCGGUAAUAC
rnacentral:rRNA from 1 species